rnacentral:lncRNA from 1 species
UCUUCAGCGUUGCUGCAAAACAUCUGUAGGUGGCUAAGCGCUCCCCACCUCCUUUCCCAAAAUGGAAUAGCUCAUUCCCGGCAUGCUGUCCAAUGCCUGCAAAGACAUAUGUUUACCAAACCAGUCCACGACCAUAUGUGUGCCGCAGUUUCUCCACAGCGUACUGCACGAUAUGCAAUGUACCCAGACAUAAACUCACACAUCUGUGGACACCUGACUUUUGAUAAACAAGCAAGAAAUAUAAUACUGAAGAAAAAGAUUUCUUGAACAAAUGGUGUAACUGGAUGUCGGUAUGUAGAAGAAUGCAAAUACCUAUUACCCAGCACAAAACUCAAGUUCAAGUGCAUCAAAUACUGAAUCUGAUAGAAGAAAAGGUGGAGAGUAACCUUCAACAAAUUGGCACUGGAAACAACUUCCUGAAGAGAACACCAAAAUCUCAGACAUAAAGACCAACAUUAAUAUGUGGGACUACAUGAAAAUGAAAAGCUACUGUAAGGCAAAGGACACUGCCAAUAGGAAGAAAUGGCAGCAUUUGACACAUCUGAGAGAGGGCUAAUAGCCAAAAUAUCU